ACAUUGUGUUGUCCCUAGGAGAAAGACAUUGUGUUGUCCCUAGGAGAAAGACAUUGUGUUGUCCCUAGGAGAAAGACAUUGUGUUGUCCCUAGGAGAAAGACAUUGUGUUGUCCCUAGGAGAAAGAGAAAGGCAUUGUGUUGUCCCUAGGAGAAAGACAUUGUGUUGUCCCUAGGAGAAAGAGAAAGACAUUGUGUUGUCCCUAGGAGAAAGACAUUGUGUUGUCCCUAGGAGAAAGGCAUUGUGUUGUCCCUAGGAGAAAGAGAAAGGCAUUGUGUUGUCUCUAGGAGAAAG
rnacentral:lncRNA from 13 species